rnacentral:rRNA from 1 species
GACGAACGCUGGCGGCGUGCCUAAUACAUGCAAGUCGAGCGAAGUUUUUCUGGUGCUUGCACUGAAAAACUUAGCGGCGAACGGGUGAGUAACACGUAAAGAACCUGCCUCAUAGACUGGGACAACUAUUGGAAACGAUAGCUAAUACCGGAUAACAGCAUUAACUGCAUGGUUGAUGUUUAAAAGUUGGUUUUGCUAACACUAUGAGAUGGCUUUGCGGUGCAUUAGCUAGUUGGUGGGGUAAAGGCCUACCAAGGCGACGAUGCAUAGCCGACCUGAGAGGGUGAUCGGCCACACUGGGACUGAGACACGGCCCAGACUCCUACGGGAGGCAGCAGUAGGGAAUCUUCCGCAAUGGGCGAAAGCCUGACGGAGCAACGCCGCGUGAGUGAAGAAGGAUUUCGGUUCGUAAAGCUCUGUUGUUAGGGAAGAAUGAUUGUGUAGUAACUAUACACA